UGCGUAGGCGGCUUUUUAAGUUUGGUGUGAAAUCUCCCGGCUCAACUGGGAGGGUGCGCCGAAUACUGAGAGGCUAGAGUGUGGGAGAGGAAAGUGGAAUUCCUGGUGUAGCGGUGAAAUGCGUAGAUAUCAGGAGGAACACCGGUGGUGUAAACGGCUUUCUGGACCAUAACUGACGCUGAGGCACGAAAGCGUGGGUAGCAAACAGGAUUAGAUACCCUGGUAGUCCACGCCCUAAACGAUGCAUAUUUGGUGUGGGCCAUUCAUUUGGUCUGUGCCGGAGCUAACGCGUUAAAUAUGCCGCCCUGGGGAGUACAGUCGCAAGGCUGAA
rnacentral:rRNA from 1 species